rnacentral:misc_RNA from 1 species
CUGGCUGGAGCGAAGGAAAGGCGCGUGGAGAUCUGUCUCACUGGUGAACGGAGACCCCGGACAACUCGCCGCGCAGUCUCGAGGCGCCAUGACCCCGGCUCGGCUGAUCGUGCUGCUGGCCGUCUGCCUGUCGGCAGUGCUCUCUACGGCCGCCGCCAAGGCCCUAGAGAAGGGGAUAACGUUCCCGCAGUUCGAGGGGACCGGCGACCGCCAGCUAGACGUGAUGGAGGACGACGG